UACGUAGGGUGCGAGCGUUGUCCGGAAUUAUUGGGCGUAAAGAGCUCGUAGGCGGUCUGUUGCGUCGGCUGUGAAAACCCGGGGCUCAACUCCGGGCCUGCAGCCGAUACGGGCAGACUAGAGUUCGGUAGGGGAGUCUGGAAUUCCUGGUGUAGCGGUGAAAUGCGCAGAUAUCAGGAGGAACACCGGUGGCGAAGGCGGGACUCUGGGCCGAUACUGACGCUGAGGAGCGAAAGCGUGGGGAGCAAACAGG
rnacentral:rRNA from 1 species